AUUGAACGCUGGCGGCAUGCCUUACACAUGCAAGUCGAACGGCAGCACGGGAGCAAUCCUGGUGGCGAGUGGCGAACGGGUGAGUAAUAUAUCGGAACGUGCCCAGUCGUGGGGGAUAACGCAGCGAAAGCUGUGAUAAUAACGCAUACGAUCUAAGGUUGACAGCGGGGGAUCGCAAGACCUUGCGCGAUUGGAAAGGCCGAGAUAAGAGUAGCUAGUUGGUGGGGUAAAGGCCCACCAAGGCGACGAUCUGUAGCUGGUCUGAGAGGACGACCAGCCACACUGGAACGGAGACACGGUCCAGACUCCUACGGGAGGCAGCAGUGGGGAAUUUUGGACAAUGGGCGCAAGCCUGAUCCAGCAAUGCCGCGUGCAGGAUGAAGGCCUUCGGGUUGUAAACUGCUUUUGUACGGAACGAAACGGCCCUUUCUAAUACAGGGGGCUAAUGACGGUACCGUAAGAAUAAGCACCGGCUAACUACGUGCCAGCAGCCGCAGUAA
rnacentral:rRNA from 1 species